CAAGGUAGGAUCCAUGCCUGGUUUAUUUUAAUAAAUGUGAGCUUGGACAGGCGUCUGCGCUUGUCUGUGAUAACCUUGUGCCGAUCGCACAUCCCCGUGAUGGCGACAACGCAUUUGUAUGUCUGCCCUAUCAACUUUCAAUGCUAUUUUCUGUGCCUACCAUGGUGACCAUGGAUAACGGGGAAUCAGGGUUCGAUUUCAGGGAGGGAGAAUGAGAAACGGCUACCACAUGCAAGGAAAGCAGCAGGCGCGCAAAUUACCUACGCGGGGAGGUAGUGACG